rnacentral:rRNA from 1 species
CGCGUAGGCGGAAGAUCAAGUCAGGGGUGAAAGGCCUGGGCUCAACCCGGGAACUGCCUUUGAAACUGAUUUUCUAGAGUACGGGAGAGGAUGGCGGAAUUCCCAGUGUAGAGGUGAAAUUCGUAGAUAUUGGGAAGAACACCAGUGGCGAAGGCGGCCAUCUGGCCCGGUACUGACGCUAAGGCGCGAAAGCGUGGGGAGCAAACAGGAUUAGAUACCCUGGUAGUCC